UUUCAGGUCUCUGGUCUUGUGAAGUGGAUCAAGCUGCUCAUAAAAGAAACAUACAUGCCCUAUAUCAAUGAAAGCCUGAACAUUGGCAUCCCACUGCCUUCUAUGUUGCACAUCAAGAUGGAUUAUUCUGUGAUUCAGAUUAUGAAGGGAAUGCUCGUCCUGUGCUUAUGAAGCAAAGGGCACCACACGGGCCAGAGAUGCUGAGCCUGAUCCACCAAGAGGGACAUCUUGGCAAGA